rnacentral:piRNA from 1 species
GAAUAAACCAAACACAUGCUAGUGCC